ensembl:lncRNA
GUUUUGUUUGAUUUGAUUAAAUUCUUAUCGGCACUUGCGUCUGCCUUCGUCUCCACAAGCUGGGACAGGGGCAGAGCAGGACUAAUAGCGAGUGAUGUGAGAAGAUGGAAUAAGAAGGUGAUGUGAAACAGGUGAGGCGAUCAUCUAAUCGCAGUGUAUAAGGAUUCCCAGAAAAGGCCGAGUCCUUCAAGAGCGAGGACGGGUCGAGGCUCGCCGAUCUGCCAACAGAUGCGUCGGAGAAUAACCCACACUUUGAGAAGAACGUUCCCCAAAGACAAAUCGGUAGGAUUUUGGGCGUUUCACCUUCUACAGCGCACGAUAUAAUUAAAAUAUCAGAGAAAUUCGGUCAAAUCUCGGUGUGUAAAGGACGAAGCCGAAAACCGCUUAUGAACACACGUGAUUUAGUUGUGUAGAAGUUCCCCUGGGUUCCUCUGUGACCUGGUGGACGAUUCCACGUCUGGCUCCUGGAGAGAUCUUCGUUGGUCUCCACUCCUGUGGAGGGGAACGAUGGUGGUGAAUUUCCUCCGUUUCUACACGAUCUGUCUGGCUGUGGAUGGGUGGAGUCCAAACUCUUUACAGAUGGUUCUCUUCGACAACUCUUUCCCUGAGGUCCUCGGAAAUCUCCUUCGCUCGUGCCGUGAUCCACUUCCGCAGACACGUGUCGUGAAGAUCAGACUCUGAUAGAUCCCUGUCCUUCAAAUAAAACAGGACGCUCACUCGCUCGCUCGCUCACACACACCUGAUCAUCAUCCCACUGACUGAAAACACCGGACUCCAAUCUCACCUUCACAUUAACUGAUAAUCCUAGAGGUGCACAUACUUUUACCCCUCAUAGAUGUUUUACGUUGUAUUUAUGCAGAAAUAUUGAAAACUUUCAAACACCGGUGUAAAUAUUUUCAUGCGUUUAGAAUUAUAAGUAUUUUUUUCUCAAAUGUUAAACACUAACAUCAUGAGUAACUGAAUUUAAAUUGAACUGAAAUCAUUUUUGUUUGCUGAUGAAAUAAAAAGGACUUGUAAUCAGAUUUAGUUUAUUGACCAGCAGAGGGCGAUGUGGUUCUGUUCCGGUGUUUUCAGUCAGUGGGAUGAUGAUCAGGUGUGUGUGAGCGAGCGAGCAAGUGAGCGUCCUGUUUUAUUUAAAGAACAGGGAUCUAUCAGAGUCUGAUCUUCACGACACGUGUCUGCGGAAGUGGAUCACGGCACGAGCGAAGGAGAUUUCCGAGGACCUCAGGGAAAGAGUUGUCGAAGCUCAUCAGGAUGGAAAAGGUCACAGAACCAUCUGUAAAGAGUUUGGACUCCACCCAUCCACAGCCAGACAGAUCGUGUAGAAACGGAGGAAAUUCACCACCAUCGUUCCCCUCCACAGGAGUGGAGACCAACGAAGAUCUCUCCAGGAGCCAGACGUGGAAUCGUCCACCAGGUCACAGAGGAACCCAGGGGAACUCCUCUCACACUGGCUAA